AAAUUAGAUCCGUAACUUCGGGAUAAGGAUUGGCUCUGAAGAUUGAGAUAAUCGGGCUUGAUUGGGAAACAAUAAUAUGGUUUAUGUGCUCGUUCUGGGUAAAUAGAAUUUUUAAAAAUUUAUUUUUUUAAAUUUGUUCCCCGGAUAGAAGUUUUCGUAACCAAUUGUGGAACUUUCUUGCUAAUAAUAUAUAAAAGUAAUAAUUUUCGGAUUAUUAUAUUUUAUAUAUUUAUAACGGUUAUCAAUUAACAAUCAAUUCAGAACUGGCACGGACUUGGGGAAUCCGACUGUCUAAUUAAAACAAAGCAUUGUGAUGGCCCUAGCGGGUGUUGACACAAUGUGAUUUCUGCCCAGUGCUCUGAAUGUCAAAGUGAAGAAAUUCAAGUAAGCGCGGGUAAACGGCGGGAGUAACUAUGACUCUCUUAAGGUAGCCAAAUGCCUCGUCAUCUAAUUNGUGACGCGCAUGA
rnacentral:rRNA from 1 species